AGAGACAGCAGAGCCGCGGGAAUACGAAGGGUGCAAGCGUUAAUCGGAAUUACUGGGCGUAAAGCGUGCGUAGGCGGUUUGUUAAGUCUGCUGUGAAAUCCCCGGGCUCAACCUGGGAAUGGCAGUGGAUACUGGCAAGCUAGAGUGUGUCAGAGGAUGGUGGAAUUCCCGGUGUAGCGGUGAAAUGCGUAGAGAUCGGGAGGAACAUCAGUGGCGAAGGCGGCCAUCUGGGACAACACUGACGCUGAGGCACGAAAGCGUGGGGAGCAAACAGGAUUAGAUACCCCUGUAGUCCCUGUCUCUUAUACA
rnacentral:rRNA from 1 species